UGCAUAUCCAAAAAAGCGGAGGAAAAGAAACUAACAAGGAUUCCCCUAGUAACUGCGAGUGAAGCGGGAAAAGCUCAAAUUUAAAAUCUGGUGGUCUUUGGCCAUCCGAGUUGUAAUCUAGAGAAGUGUUAUCCGCGCUGGACCGUGUACAAGUCCCCUGGAAUGGGGCGUCAUAGAGGGUGAGAAUCCCGUCUUUGACACGGACUACCAGGGCUUUGUGAUGCACUCUCAAAGAGUCGAGUUGUUUGGGAAUGCAGCUCAAAAUGGGUGGUAAAUUCCAUCUAAAGCUAAAUAUUGGCGAGAGACCGAUAGCGAACAAGUACCGUGAGGGAAAGAUGAAAAGAACUUUGGAAAGAGAGUUAAACAGUACGUGAAAUUGUUGAAAGGGAAACGCUUGAAGUCAGUCGCGUCUGCCAGGGAUCAACCUUACUUUUGUGAGGCGUACUUCCUGGUUGAUGGGUCAGCAUCAGUUUUGGUCGCUGGAUAAAGGUCAGAGAAAUGUGGCACCUUCGGGUGUGUUAUAGUCUUUGAUCAGAUACAGUGGCUGGGACUGAGGAACUCAGCGCCGCAAGGCUGUCUUAGGAUGCUGGCAAAAUGGCUUUAAUCGACCCGUCUUGAAACACGGACAAAGGAGUCA
rnacentral:rRNA from 1 species